rnacentral:misc_RNA from 1 species
GGCUCCUGUUGUUGCUCUGUGGUCACAGAUUGUGGUCGUAUAGGCGGAUAAUUUUCGUCCAAUGGGAGCUCGUUAUGCGCUUCUAGCACGGACUCGGUUGUACUAGUGGUAGAUACACGUUUUCUACCAGGUCGUCGUAUUCUACUUCUUAUUCUAGUUUGUUUUAUCUCGUCUGGUCUAGAUCUUGGCCUAACAGUGUAUAUCGUGUCGUCUGGAAGCACUGUGGCAACAGGUAUUACUUCAGUAGUAGUGGUGAUUUCUGGCGUCGUUAUGGGCGAUGCUGCGUCUGUGGAGGACUCGAUUCCACUGUGGCCUCGUCGUUUGGUAGCAGAGAU